UCGUACGCGAAAGCCCUUCGGGGCAAGUAGAGUGGCGAACGGGUGAGUAACGCGUAGAUAACUUACCCUCGGGUUUGGGAUAACUCUCUGAAAGGAGAGCUAAUACCGGAUAAUAAAAAAUAGCGAAAGCUUUUUUUUUGAAAGGUCCGCCGCCCGAGGAUAGGUCUGCGUGACAUUAGCUAGUUGGUAGGGUAAUGGCCUACCAAGGCUACGAUGUCUAGUGGGUCUGAGAGGAUGACCCGCCACACUGGAACUGAGACACGGUCCAGACUCCUACGGGAGGCAGCAGUAGGGAAUCUUGCGCAAUGGGCGAAAGCCUGACGCAGCAAUACCGCGUGGGUGAAGAAGGCCUUCGGGUCGUAAAGCCCUUUUUCAGGUGAAGAUAAUGACGGUAGCCUGAGAAUAAGCACCGGCUAACUCCGUGCCAGCAGCCGCGGUAAUACGGAGGGUGCAAGCGUUGUUCGGAAUUAUUGGGCGUAAAGGGCGUCUAGGCGGCCUAAUAAGCGCAGGGUGAAAUCCCGGGGCUCAACCCCGGAAGUGCUUUGCGAACUG
rnacentral:rRNA from 1 species